AGUACCCACCAUGUGCAUGUUGGGAGCUGACAUACAGCAGGCUCCCAUCACGUGCAUGCUGGGAGCUGACGUAAAUACCUGCAGCGUGCGGGGGAACCAGGAGGGUCAGCAGCAGCCUACAUGUCCUUAGCCCGUGAAGCCAGAGAUGAAGAACCUUCUGGAAGCUUGUUCUAGAUUUUUCACUGAAGCCCUAAUGGACUCCCAACAGAGACAGGCUCCUUUCUAGUCAACCCAGGAUGGACCCACAGCCCGCAAGGAUGAGAGUUCGAUGGAGUAAAAGAGUGCACGUCCAUUCCAAUGCCACUCCCCUCCUGACCCUUGGCCUGGGGUCAAGGCCCAGCUACUGAAUGUCAGUUUUCCUUUUUGUGACCAAAAUGUGGAAAACAAAAUAAAAGCCUCCCAUGGUUAGAACUGGAGCCCACCCAAGAUCCUAUUCUUGCAAAUGACAGUCUGGUAACCAGUGCAUUUGGUAACUGAG